rnacentral:lncRNA from 1 species
CCUGAACCAUAACUCACAUUCAGAUGGGUAAAGUGUAAAGGGAUUCGCAUAGAAACAAUAAUGACAAAGUAGUAGAAAAAUAGUAAAGGAAAGCAUAGUAGAACUAGGAUGUAAAACACAUAGUGGAGGGGCAAUAUUUAAACAAAGAUGGACAUACCAGCUGCAAAGUAACAAAAUAGAAUAGUAGAGUAACCACAGCAAGCAAACAGCAGAAACAACUCAGGUUUUUAGCAGAACGCUCGAAGAUUCAAAGAAAACUCAAAGGUGUUUCAGAAAGCAAAGAGGAAAAGUACAUGGAACUGGGCUGUGUAUUUGAGACAAGAAGAGAUAGAAAACAGAUUGCCUAUUAUUGAGUGUUAUUCC